GUCUCAGUAGCAUAGUGGUUAGUGCACAGACCCCUAUAGCUUGAGACGUGGGUUCGAAUCCCGCCUGAGGUG
rfam:Nippostrongylus brasiliensis genome assembly, scaffold: NBR_contig0006014